CACUGACCAGAGUGAGUACCAAGAGGCUGCUCUGAUCUUUUCCACUUUGCCUCUCGGUCCGCACUGCAGUCCCAGGCAGUUUGCGAGCACACACCCAGAGCCUGCCGCACGCUGUGGCUGUGCCUCUUCAUUUGCCGUCUGUGGGUUCCACGUGCUGAGGACUUUUUCUGCCCCACACUCUUAAUUUUCCCCUCGUGUGCCCUGAAGAAAAAGGACGUGCUCCCAGGACUUUCUAUGGCAAGUAUAGAGAAUAGGAAGGAAUCCCCACAGAAUCUUCAUCUCCAAUUCCAAAAUGAGCAACUCCUGCUGGCAGAGGUGAUGAUAGCAUUUGAAGACCUGGCUGUUUACUUUACCUUGGAGGAAUGGCAGAACAUGAACAAAGCUCAGAAAAUCCUGUACAGGGAUGUGAUGCUAGAGACCUACAGCAGCCUGCUCUUCUUGGGGCACUGCAUUACCAAACCUGAUUUGAUCUUUAAGUUGGAACAAGGAGCAGAGCCAUGGAUGGUGAAUGAAUGUCUAAAUCAGAGAGUUCCAGUUGCCAUGAAAAGUGAUGACAUAAUUAGGACCAACCAGGAAAUUCAAGAAAAAAAUUCGAAUCAGGAUGCUAUGACAAGUAUCAAUACAUCAACUCCCAAGACAGUUGAAUUAAGAAAAAGACUUAAUUUAAGUUCAAGUCAUGUUUCAAAACUGAUUAUCAGAAAGGGAAAUUAUUCAGCAAUGAAACCUGAGGAGCGCAAUGUGUGUCACAAUGUGUAUCCCCAUGGUGGCCCUGAUGAGCUGCAAGCUGGAGAGAAACUUGAAGCCGCUAAGGUACCUGGGAACUCUGUCCAGUGCUAUGAGCCUCUUAGUGAGUAUCACAAGAUUCAGAAUAUGAAGCAUUCAUUUGAACAUAGUGGACAAGGGAAUGACUUCAAAACAAAGAUAUUUGACAUGGUCCAUAUGGGAGACACCUGUAAUAAGUCAACUGUCACUGUUGGAAGGACAACUGUAAUAAAGAAAACUCUUCAUAAAGAUACUAAUCUCAGUAAGCAUCAACAAAUCAACAGAGGAGAGAAACUAUAUGAAGAUAUAGGAUAUGUGGAACCUCUCAUUUACAAAUCCGAUCUUGCAAUAAAUCAGAGACAACAUAUAUGGAAAAAACCCUACACAUGUAAGCCUUGUGGAAAAUCAUUCAAUUGUAAGUCCUGCCAUACCAUCAUUCACAGUACUCACAUAAAGGAAAACUCCCCUGUGUGUAAUGAAUGUGGAGAAACCACAUACCAAAAGUUAGAUCUCUUUAGGCAUCAGAAAAUUGACACAAAGAAGAAACCUCAUGAAUACAAUGAGUGCAGAAAAGCCAUUUUCCAGAAAUCAUACCUCAUAACACAUCAGAGAAAUCACACAGAGGACAAACCUCAUGAAUGUAAGGAUUGUGGGAAAGCCUUUGGCCAAAAGUCACAUCUUGUUAUGCAUCAGAGAAUUCAUACAGGAGAGAAAUCUUAUGAAUGCAAUGGCUGUGGAGAAGUCUUCCUGUGCAAGUCACAGCUCAUCAAACAUGAGGGAAUUCAUGUAAGUGAGAAACCUCAUGAAUGUAAUGGCUGUGGAAAAGCCUUUGGACAGAAGUCACAUCUCAUAGUGCAUCAGAAAAUUCACAGAGAGAAACCUUAUGAAUGUAAUGACUGUGGAAAAGCCUUCAGCUAUAAGUCACAGCUCAUAAUCCAUCAGAGAAUUCACACAGGGGAGAAACCUUAUGAAUGUAAUGACUGUGGAAAAGCCUACAGCUAUAAGUCACAACUCUUAAUCCAUCAGCGAAUUCACACAGAGGAGAAAGCUUAUGAAUGUAAUGACUGUGGAAAAGCCUUUAGCAAGAAGUCACAACUUGUAAUGCAUCAGAGAAUUCACACAGGGGAGAAACCUUAUGAAUGUAAUGACUGUAGAAAAGCCUUCAACUACAAGUCACAACUCAUAGCCCAUCAGAGAAUUCACACAGGGGAGAAACCUUAUGAGUGCAAUGGAUGUGGAAAAGCCUUUGGCCAGAAAUCAUAUCUCAUAAUGCAUCAGAGAAUUCACACAGGGGAGAAACCUUAUGAAUGUAAUGACUGUGGAAAAGCCUUCAGCUAUAAGUCACAGCUCAUAAUCCAUCAGAGAAUUCACACAGGGGAGAAACCUUAUGAAUGUAAUGACUGUGGAAAAGCCUUUGGCCAGAAGUCGCAUCUCAUAAUCCAUCAGAGAAUCCAUACAGGGGAGAAAGCUUAUGAAUGUAAUGGCUGUGGAAAAGCCUUUGGCAAGAAGUCACAUCUUGUAAUGCAUCAGAGAAUUCACACAAGAGAGAAACCUUAUGAAUGCAAUGGCUGUGGAAAGGCCUUCAUCUAUAACUCACAACUCAUAAUCCAUCAGAGAAUUCACACAGGGGAGAAACCUUAUAAAUGUAAUGACUGUGGAAAAGCCUUUGGCCAGAAGUCGUAUCUCAUAAUCCAUCAAAGAAUUCACACAGGGGAGAAACCUUAUGAAUGUAAUGACUGUGGAAAAGCCUUUGGCCAAAAGUCAGGCCUCAUCAAACACCAGAGAAUUCACACAGGGGAGAAACCUUAUAAAUGUAAUGAGUGCAGUAAAACCUUUGGCCAGAAGUCAUAUCUCAUAAUCCAUCAGAGAAUUCACACAGGGGAGAAACCUCAUGAAUGUAAUUACUGUGGAAAAGCCUUUGGCCAAAAGUCAGGCCUCUUCAAACAUCAGAGAAUCCACACAGGGGAGAAACCUUAUGAAUGCAAUGACUGCAGGAAAACCUUUGCUCAGAAAUCACAACUCAUAAUCCAUCAGAGAAUUCACACAGGGGAAUAACCUCAUGAAUGUAAUGAUUACAGAAAAGUUUUUUGCUGUAAAUUACAACUCAUAACAUGAGCAUCAUUUGUAAGGCUGGAUAGCUGCAACAGAUGGAGCUGUGCCGAUCUGAAGCCAGGAGCCAGGAGCUUCUUCCAGGUCUCAGGUAGAGUUACAGACAGAGAAAGACAGAGAGAAAAGUCUUCAUUCAGUUGCUUCAUCCCCCAAAUGACCACUACGGCUGGUGCUCCACUGAUCCAAAGCCAGGAGCCAGGCUGUCUCCCAUGCGGAUGCAAGGGCCCAAGCACUUGGGCCAUCCUCCACUGCCCUCCUGUGCCACAGCAGAGAACUGGACUGGAAGAGGAGCAACUGAGACUAGAACCCAGUGCCCAUAUGGGAUGCUGGUGCUGCAGAUGGAGGAUUAACCAAGUGAGCCACAGCGCCGAGCCCAGUUUUCUAUUCUUUUGGCAAGAUGUUUUGCCUUAGCAUUCAGUUGUGUUAUGCUUUAAUACUGAGAAAUUUACAAGAGUAGCAAGUAGCAUAUAUCCC